AUGGGCUCCACCCAGGAUCUCCACCCCUCCGUCGUUCCACAGCCGGCGGUGGAAGCCCGACGGCGGUACUCACGCUGUGAAUGCUGCUGGCUAUGGUGCGUGGGGCUGGCGGCCAUGGCCGCCGUGUGCUUCUUCCUGGACCAGACCCAGGGGAUGACGCCCUACUUCUCCAUCGCCAUCAACUCCGUCUCGGGGCUCGACCCCGCGACGGACCUCGGUCGCCGGUCCGCGGUAGAUCCGGAGUUCAACCUCACUUUGCGUGUCGCCUCGCACAAACUCUGGGCCAGCGAGUGCGCCAAGCCCGACAUGUACGUCGACGUGUUCUACCGCGGCAUCUUCCUGGCUGCCAGCGUGACCACGGCGGAAGAGAUCUGCGCCAGGCCGAAGAAAGCAGUGGAUCGCCCUGUCAUCGCGAGGGGCAUCGGGGUGGUCGUGCCCGGACCCAUGCUGGAUAGCCUCGCCGGGGACAUGCGUCGAGGAGUUCAAGCGUUCGACGUCAUGCUCCAUGGCAGCAACGCCAAGCACUCGCACUGGUCGUGGUAUUGCGGGGCAAGGCGUGUCGGGGAUGCUGGUGCCUUACGAGCAGACUGCGUCUCCGACUAG
rnacentral:rRNA from 1 species